rnacentral:rRNA from 1 species
GACAGAGGUGCCGAGCGUUAUGCGGAAUCACUGGGCUUAAAGCGUGUGUAGGCGGGCCGUUAAGUGUCUUGUGAAAUCCCCCGGCUCAACCGGGGAAUUGCUGGGCAUACUGGCGGUCUUGAGCGAUCUAGGGGCAGAUGGAACAAGUGGUGGAGCGGUGAAAUGCGUAGAUAUCACUUGGAACGCCAAAGGUGAAGACAGUCUGCUGGGGAUCUGCUGACGCUGAGACACGAAAGCCAGGGGAGCGAACGGG